rnacentral:rRNA from 1 species
AAAAAGUGGGUGAUCCUAUGCUGCCAAGAAAAGCAUCGACGCGAGGUUCAAGCCGCCCGUACCCCAAACCGACUCAGGUGGUCAGGUAGAGAAUACUAAGGAGAUCGAGAGAAUCGUGGUUAAGGAACUCGGCAAAAUGCCCCCGUAACUUCGGGAGAAGGGGGGCCACCCGCUUAUACGGACUUGCUCCGGAAAGGGUGUGGUGGCCGCAGAGACUAGUGGGUAGCGACUGUUUACUAAAAACACAGGUCCGUGCCAAGUCGCAAGACGAUGUAUACGGACUGACGCCUCCCCGGUGCUGGAAGGUUAAGAGGACCGGUUAGCCGCAAGGCGAAGCUGAGAAUUUAAGCCCCAGUAAACGGCGGUGGUAACUAUAACCAUCCUAAGGUAGCGAAAUUCCUUGUCGGGUAAGUUCCGACCUGCACGAAUGGCGUAACGACUUCCCAACUGUCUCAACCGCGAACUCGGCGAAAUUGCAUUACGAGUAAAGAUGCUCGUUACGCGCAGCAGGACGGAAAGACCCCGUGACCUUUACUAUAGCUUUGUAUUGGUGUUCGGUGUGGCUUGUGUAGGAUAGGUGGGAGACUUUGAAGCGUGGACGCCAGUUCAUGUGGAGUCAUUGUUGAAAUACCACUCUGGUCACUCUGGAUAUCUAACUUCGAACCGUGAUCCGGUUCAGGGACAGUGCAUGGUGGGUAGUUUAACUGGGGCGGUUGCCUCCCAAAAAGUAACGGAGGCGCCCAAAGGUUCCCUCAACCUGGUUGGCAAUCAGGUGUCGAGUGUAAGUGCACAAGGGAGCUUGACAGUGAGACUGACAGGUCGAGCAGGGACGAAAGUCGGGACUAGUGAUCCGGCAGUGGCUUGUGGAAGCGCUGUCGCUCAACGGAUAAAAGGUACCUCGGGGAUAACAGGCUGAUCUUGCCCAAGAGUCCAUAUCAUGGCAUGGUUUGGCACCUCGAUGUCGGCUCGUCGCAUCCUGGGGCUGGAGUAGGUCCCAAGGGUUGGGCUGUUCGCCCAUUAAAGCGGUACGCGAGCUGGGUUUAGAACGUCGUGAGACAGUUCGGUCCCUAUCCGCUGCGCGCGUAGGAAGUUUGAGAGGAUCUGACCCUAGUACGAGAGGACCGGGUUGGACGAACCUCUGGUGUGCCAGUUGUUCCGCCAGGAGCACCGCUGGUUAGCUACGUUCGGGAUGGAUAACCGCUGAAAGCAUCUAAGCGGGAAGCCGGCCUCAAGAUGAGACUUCCAUACCUUCGGGUGAGAGGCUCCCAGCCAGACUACUGGGUUGAUAGGCCAGAUGUGUAAGCGUGGCAACACGUGCAGCUGACUGGUACUAAUAAGCCGAUGACUCG